AUGGCGGACGCGGCGCAGGUGAGUAACACGUAUCCAACCUGCCGAUAACUCGGGGAUAGCCUUUCGAAAGAAAGAUUAAUACCCGAUGGUAUAAUCAGACCGCAUGGUUUGAUUAUUAAAGAAUUUCGGUUAUCGAUGGGGAUGCGUUCCAUUAGGCAGUUGGUGAGGUAACGGCUCACCAAACCUUCGAUGGAUAGGGGUUCUGAGAGGAAGGUCCCCCACAUUGGAACUGAGACACGGUCCAA
rnacentral:rRNA from 1 species